rnacentral:lncRNA from 1 species
AUCUUUCUAAAGCUCUGAUCAGUCAAGAAGGGGGUUGUAUCAAUCCUCAGAACCCUGAAUGGAACUUUCUACAGGAUUUAUUAGGAGAAAAACCUUCCCGGAAGCUGCAGAAGGACAAAUACAGAAUCCGUGUCUGGGAGAAACCUCGUGGCCUGGUCUCCAUUAUUUGAGAUGAGUUACAUCUUGGAGGUGAGGACGUGCCUCGUGAUCUAAAGCUUCGGCACAAGGGCCCAACUGGAAUUCCACUUACGGGCCUGAUCUUUUGGCCAGAAGGAGAUUAAAAAGAUGCCCCGCAAGAUGGCUGUGCCUGUCAACUGCAUGGAGCUUCGUUCAAGUAUUUUCUGAGCCUGAUGGAUUUACAGUGAUCUUCAGUGGUCUGGGGAAUAACGCUGGUGGAACCAUGCACUGGAAUGACACACGCCCGGCACAUUUCAGGAUACUAAAAGUGGUUUUAAGGGAGGCUGUGGCUGAAUGCCUCAUGGAUUCUUACAGCUUGGAUGUCCAUGGGGGACGAAGGACUGCAGCUGGCUGAGAGGGUUGAGAUCUCUGUUUACUUAGAUCUCUGCCAACUUCCUUUGGGUCUCCCUAUGGAAUGUAAGACCCCGACUCUUCCUGGUGAAGCAU